GACUCUCGGCAACGGAUAUCUCGGCUCUCGCAUCGAUGAAGAACGUAGCAAAAUGCGAUACUUGGUGUGAAUUGCAGAAUCCCGUGAACCAUCGAGUCUUUGAACGCAAGUUGCGCCCGAAGCCAUCAGGCCGAGGGCACGCCUGCCUGGGCGUCACGCAUCG
rnacentral:rRNA from 1 species